rnacentral:rRNA from 1 species
AGAGUUUGAUCCUGGCUCAGGGUUAACGCUGGCGGCGUGCCUAACACAUGCAAGUCGAACGGUUCUAAGCGCGAGCUUAGGAUAGUGGCGAACGGGUGAGUAAAAGGUAGGAAUCUACCCCUUGGACGGAGAUAGCUACUGGAAACGGUAGGUAAACUUCGAUAAGCCCGAGAGGGGAAAGUGGUGAGACAGCCGAGGGAUGAGCCUACUCUCCAUCAGGUAGUUGGUGAGAUAAAAGCUUACCAAGCCGAUGACGGAUAACCGGUGUGAGAGCAUGAACGGUCACAAGGGCACUGAGAGACGGGCCCUACUCCUACGGGAGGCAGCAGUGGGGAAUCUUGGACAAUGGGCGAAAGCCUGAUCCAGCGACGCCGCGUGGAGGAAGAAGUCCUUCGGGAUGUAAACUUCUGAACUAGCCGAAUAAAAGGCCUGUGGACACACAGGAGAAGAAAGUAGGCUAGGAAAAGUCCCGGCUAACUACGUGCCAGCAGCCGCGGUAAGACGUAGGGGGCAAGCGUUACCCGGAAUUACUGGGCGUAAAGGGGGCGUAGGCGGUAAAAGAAGUCAUCUGUGAAAACCUAUUGCUCAACGAUAGGCUAGCGGAUGAAACUGAAUUACUUGAGGGCACCAGAGGUAGACGGAAUUACCCGAGUAGGGGUGAAAUCCGCAGAUACGGGUAGGAACGCCGGUGGAGAAGUCGGUCUACUGGGGUGCACCAGACGCUGAGGCCCGAAAGCUAGGGGAGCAAACCGGAUUAGAUACCCGGGUAGUCCUAGCCGUAAACGAUGCUCACUAGGUGUAGGGAGUGAUAAACUCUCUGUGCUGAAGCGAACGCGCUAAGUGAGCCGCCUGGGGAGUACGUCCGCAAGGAUGAAACUCAAAGGAAUUGACGGGGGUCCGCACAAGCGGUGGAGCAUGUGGUUUAAUUCGAUGGUAACCGAAGAACCUUACCAGGGAUUGACAUGUAACUGAAGGUAGAGAAAUCUACUGGCCUGCUGCAAAGCGGGAGGUUACACAGGUGGUGCACGGCCGUCGUCAGCUCGUGCCGUGAGGUGUUGGGUUAAGUCCCGCAACGAGCGCAACCC